UUAUACAACUCAUAUCUAUGUAUAUACGCGUUACUAGCUGUUGCUAACAUUUGUUGUUGUAGAACUUUCCUUCUACCUACCAUAAUGUCAAUUGGUAAGGAGGGAAACAUGUACCUAAAUCAUGUACCUAAAUUACACAACAAAUAAAUGUAAACAAUUCUUCAUCCGAUACCUACGAUAGCAUAUACCAAAUUCUACUAUUCUAUUCGUUGGUCGUUGGUUAUAUACAUAUGCAAAUGUCGUUUUCGUGUUCAUUCGGUUCGAGUUAUCGCUACAAUCGGUGUCUUUAUCUGCGCGCGUGACAGUGUUACAAACUUCCUGAGUGAAAAAAAUAGUGAACAAGUGUGUAGAGAAUUUGUUCUAGCUUUGCGUUAACUAUCAAGCAACUUACAUACGUUUGCGAUUAAGUGACGCAAAUUGCUUACAUUUCUCAAGUGCAUUCCUUGUAGUAGUGUUCGAAGUGUAACAAUGUCGGUCAAAAGAAUGCGUCGAACCGGCCAAACCAGCAAGAUUAUCAAAGCUAAUAACGCUAAACUAGAGGCAGAAUUAUUUGGCGAGAGCAGUUCAUUCGGUGCUAACAUAAUUCCUGCAGCAACCACGUAUGAAGGUAAGAACAAGAUUGACUACAUGAAAGCAUAUUUAAUUGCAAUAUUAAUAUCCAUCUUUUGCAUUCCAGAUCCGGAACCAAUUAGCCAUCAUUCGUCAUAGCCGAUAAGCUCAUCCAAAUACGCGUUAGAGCUAUCAUCGCAGAUUCACCAGCGCGUGCGUUCAUAAAAGGUGUUGCAUACUUCAAUCAUAAACAUGGGUGCCAAAAAUGUACAGUAGAAGGAAAACAUCACAGUGCGGCACGUGUUUCCUAUUUUCUGGAUAUCGACGUAGUGGAGUAACAUUGCAUGUAAAUUAUAAUAUGCGUCUAUAUCCAUGUACUCAAGAUAAUUGGUUUUUAACUAAGGAUUUAUAUAUUGCUAAAUAUUGUAAGGCAGAAAAAAUAGGAUCAACGAUUAACAUUUAUGGGACAGCAUUUAACAAAAUAACAGAAACUCAUACAUUCUUUUGUUCGCCUAUGAUGAAAGACAUAUAUGAGGCAAAUACAAGCGACCUUACCAUUGAAUCGAUAGUUUUUUCACCAACAGAUAUCAAGUGUAAAUUAGUAGCUAUUAAAACGGACGACACGAACUAUGUAUUUGUACCUCUCAUACAGACAUUAGUUGAAUGAAUAACUGUAAUAUUUUGAAUUAUCAAUUGUUAUGUUAUAAUAAAAAGUAAUAUUGUAAUUGUUUUCGAAAAAAUAAAUAAUAAUCACAUAUAAUCUGGUGUAUAUUACAUUGUAUUUGCGGCAAUCAGUAUACUGAUGAACCUUUCAAUAUUAAAUAUUUACUUUUAUCACAUACAUAAUUGACUUAGUUGUUUACGUGAUUGUUUCAGGUUUUAGUCAGUGUUUAAUUUAUCACAGCUUGUGUUACUUUCGUAUCACAUUUUUUGUCAUAAUUUUAUAUGACAGCAGUCUUUCACGUGGCCGGAUCGAACAACGUAUCCCAUUUGGAUCGUUUUGCUAUACGCAGGACGCAGCUAUGAAUAAAGUUAAGAUAGUCAGAAUUAAAUAUAUACACUACUUAAACCUAUGUUUGGUAAAUAUGAAAAAGGCCGUUCUAAUUUAAAAAAAAAACAAAAAUUAAAACGUUAAGAGACUACAAAAGGAAAUAUAAAAACUAAAUAAAACUUAAACUAAAUAAUAACUUAAAUAUAAAUUUACAUAGUGCGUCUUGUGCGACUGAAAGUUUUUCUAAUGCCUUGCAGUGCUACUCUUUUAGGAGCAUAUGCAAGUUUUUUUUUUAUGUACAUUUCUACGAAGUUUAUACCUACUUCUACGCCCAUGUGGUUUGUGGCUACAUUUUUUAAAAAUUGCAUAGUAUGUACAUAGUUUUUGAAGGCUAUUUUUCUUCCACCCGAUCCGAGCCAGCUACACUUGGCUAAAAAUUGUUUGUCGAACAUUAUAUCCAACACUUCAUGCAGUCGGCUUUUCGCGUUUUGGCUGGAUAAUUCAGCAUCCGCACGCUGUAUGAAGGUGUAAAACAAAUUUUCAUCUGUAAGAUGCUCUUCAAACCUGUCCAGUGACUCUUCGUUGCUUAUAUAUUGUAUCGGGAUGGUUUGAGCAUUGCGUCGCACGCCUUUCAUCGGGUGUAUUGUGGCCGAAAUUUCAUUCACUAUCGCAGCCGUUUGGGCAGUUCGGGCAUCCAGUUUUAAUAAUAAACAUUGUGAACAAAAAUCGUGCCCAGGACAAGUUGUUUUUGCUUGAACUAACUCUGUGUUCUUAUUUACAUUAAUAGAUACCGUGGACGGAUGAAUGCUGCUUGCUGACGACUGCUCUUCGUGAAAUGUUGAUCCCGGUGAUGAUGAAACACACGGUUCCGGUGUCAUGCUUGGUGACGGCUGACGGAAUCCUUGAUGCACGACAGUCGUUUUUGCCGGUCGCGCAAAGUCAUGCGCGCAUGAACCAGCAGUUGAAGCAACAGACGAUUUCGGCGUCACACUUGUGGUCGCUAGUGGAACAACACGCACGGAACUAGCAGGCACAAGAAUCAUCCCACGUAUCGCUUUCGUUGAGGGCUGCGAUCCUCGCUUUUGUGCCAUCGAUCCUGCCGGACGCGUAGCGAUAUCCACGGAACCAGCAGUGAGAGCAGUAGAAGAUUCCGACGUCGCAGACGAUCCUGCCGGCCGCGGAAUGAAACGCAUGGAACCUGCAGCGGGAACAAAUGCCGGUACCGGCGUCGCACUAGUGGACGGCUGCGAUCCUCGCUUUUGUUCCACCGAUCCUGCCGGUCGCGUAGCGAUAUCCAUGGAACCAGCAUCGGGGGCAAGAAACGGUUCCGGCGUCGGUCUUGAUGACGUUCGCGGUCCAAAAACACGGACGAUCGCUCCUGUGGAGCAUAACACAGCCGAAGGCAGUUGUUGCAGUGCAAAAAGGCGCCCUUUCUUUGGUGGUUCCGACAUUAUAUUUUGGCUGAAAUAAUCAAUCGUUUUAUUAUUUUUUAUGUGAAACUGCUGAGUUGUAUUUGAAUGCUGCUUUGCGGUUUGAAAUCUCGAUGUUUAUGUUUUCAGCUGUGAAUUUCAAUAAAGGGUAACAAUCACA